rnacentral:SRP_RNA from 1 species
GCAAGUGCUUUUGUGGCCACACCCGUGGUUUAAAGUGC